UCCCAGACUCCUACGGGAGGCAGCAGUGAGGAAUAUUGGUCAAUGGGCUUACGCCUGAACCAGCCAAGUCGCGUGAGGGAAGACUGCCCUAUGGGUUGUAAACCUCUUUUGUCAGGGAGCAACGCCGGCUACGUGUAGCCGGACUGAGAGUACCUGAAGAAAAAGCAUCGGCUAACUCCGUGCCAGCAGCCGCGGUAAUACGGAGGAUGCGAGCGUUAUCCGGAUUUAUUGGGUUUAAAGGGUGCGUAGGCGGAUUGAUAAGUUAGAGGUGAAAUGUCCGAGCUUAACUCGGGAACUGCCUCUAAUACUGUUGAUCUAGAGAGUAGAUGCGGUAGGCGGAAUGUAUGGUGUAGCGGUGAAAUGCUUAGAGAUCAUACAGAACACCGAUUGCGAAGGCAGCUUACCAAUCUAUAUCUGACGUUGAGGCACGAAAGCGUGGGGAGCAAACAGGAUUAGAUACCCCUGUAA
rnacentral:rRNA from 1 species